GCAUGCUAAUUAUGCUAACAACCAGUCAGUGCAAGAACAGACGAAUACAGCUCAGCGGUUGCGGAGUGAAUGUGUAUUAUGAGCAGCUGACCUUGCUUCUGCUUAUAUCUGUUCCUGGACUUUUGCCUGUGGAGGUUAUUCUGAUCUAUGAGUGGCCUUUUGGAAUAUGAAAACCUGUUUGGAACCUGUGUUUUGAUUUUUUGAGGACUGGAAAUAUUUCAGUGAGUGACUUUGAACCUGAAAACCAGUUUGGAGUUUUUUGCUUUCUUGAGCUGUUUUGUUUGAUUUUGUGGGCUGGAUGGAUCCAGUGCCAAACCACUGAACUGCAAACAUGUUGGCAUGGUGUGGUACUCAAACUGUUGAACUGCAAACAUUUUGGAAUGGUGUGGUACCUCUCCUACUAAUGGUGGUUGGUUGUACUGGCAGGCUGGAAGUGGAUGGUUAAAAAAAACACUCAGGUGUAAAUCUACGAGUUCAGUGAAAUGUACAAAAAUGAUAUGUACUGAUAUGUAAUUUAGUUCAAUUUAAUGAUAUGCAAUUUAGUUGUAUGUAUAAAAUGAUACAAAUAUACAAAUACACUGGCAUCCUACUCAUCCUGGCAGCUCAAAGAUGUAAUUUAAGAAUUAAGUGUGCUACUUUUCUUACUGUCACGUGUGUUUGUGUGUGUGUGUGUUUGUGUGUGUGUGUGUAUAACUUUUCUGGAUGGAUCCAGUGCCAAUCUAUUGAACUGCAAGCAUUUUUCUGCUCUGCCUUUGUUGACUGAGAACUAAAAUAAAUGUCAAUCUGAUCUGCA